rnacentral:lncRNA from 1 species
GACAGGUGACAUAAUUACUGUUGAAACUUCGAGUUUCAUUUUUAAUGCUUUACAUAGCGAAAUUUCGGCUUGGCUUGUAUAACCGGUAUUCAUGAGCCUGAUGAGGCUUGACAGCUAGAGACUUGAAUAUUUCCAUGGAAAUGUGAAAUGGUGCCAGUCCUUGUGUAGAGAUCCUGAGCCAUUGUUUCCUUGGAAACGUGAAAUGGUUGUUUCAGCACUAACUAAUGAAUUGGCUUUCAACAGCAGUAUUCCAUGUAGAGUGUUUGAGAGACUGCUCUACAUAACAUAUUCACAGAACUGGGAACUGAUGGGUGGACACUUCUGGAUCAAACAGUAAAUUGAGGAUGAGAUAGAUUUAGAGCUUGUUGUUGCUGCUGAUGAGGCAACACAGAAGGAAUCUCCGAAGAAAGAGAUACAGGACCCAAAACCGAACUUAUAGACAUUACUGCAGAGGCAAGCAAAGUUCCUGGAGAAUUGUAGGGAAGACAAGACUGUUCAGUAUUUGGGGGCUUUAAGCCAGUUGUGUCACAGCUCAACUGAUCUCAGCCAUGUAUCAUGUAUGGAUAUAUACCCGAGGAUAUGGAAGGUUCUGUCUGAAAAACAACAGAGUUAGUUCCCUUUAUGUGUAGUGGAAGCCAUGUUGUUUAGAAGAACUGUCAUCCCAGUGCAAUACACACAUUUGUGGAGCGUCUAGCCCUCUUGUGUUCCACCAGUACCUAUCAGACCAAGUAUACUCAAGUAUUUGGGUCAAACACAUAAUCUCUGGUACAGAUCUUGCCUAUUGUUGGAAUAGAUAGCAUUUGAUAAUGCUCCAUCAGAGCCGGUGAAGGGAGGAGGGGCCAGUGAAUACGAGUUUGAAAAUUCGAGUUCAAAUGCUCCUGGACAGAUUUCAGUUAUUUAGAGAAGUACCAGGGAUCAGAUCAGACAAGUUAACAUACCUGACCAUGGUAGAAGGAACCAGUGGCCUGAAGCAGGCACAGAUUUGUCAGCAAGACAAAAUUCAGGCAAACUACAUGAACAAGUUCAAAACUUUGAUUCAAGCAGACAGCAGGGAAAAGACAAAAAGAGACUACACAGAGGGGUGCUCUAAAGUUGAGAAAAUUUCAGACUUGAAGUUAAGUUGUCUACCUGGCACAGAUACCAAGAUUACAAAUGACAUUAUAAAUGGAGCCCCCAGAGAUAUACAAGUGAUACUCGGUACUAAAAUACUAAGUUCUGACAGUCAAGAAAAGUAAAGACACAGAUUGCAACGUACAGAUUACAGAGUACAGAUUACAGUGUACAGAGUACAGUGUACAGAUUACAGAGUACAGAUUACAGUGUACAGAUUACAGUGUACAGAUUGCAGUCAAGUCACAGGUAUU